rnacentral:lncRNA from 1 species
UUUACUUCUUAGUGGAAUAAGGGAUGUUUGUCUCUAUGUUCUUGGAACUGAAGGCCUCCUAUGGGCCAUGGUUGGGGAUCGGCAUUGGUUGGGGCCAUGGUGGCAUAGUCAGGCAUUCCACAGUCGGUAAACGAUAAUGAUAGUAUUGAAAAAAUCAAAAAAAUACAUAAAAAAUAAGAAAAUAAAAAUUAGAACAUGGCAUCAUUUACUCGGCCUAAAUCUGGC